rnacentral:tRNA from 1 species
UCUCCUAUAGCUCAGUUGGUAGAGCGUGCGGCUGUUAAUCUCAAGGUCGCUGGUUCAAACCCAGCUGGGAGAG